UGAGGAAUAUUGGUCAAUGGGGGCAACCCUGAACCAGCCAAGUCGCGUGAAGGAUGAAGGUCUUAUGGAUUGUAAACUUCUUUUAUACAGGAAUAAAUUGGGGGACGUGUCCCCUUUUGCAUGUACUGUAUGAAUAAGGAUCGGCUAACUCCGUGCCAGCAGCCGCGGUAAUACGGAGGAUCCGAGCGUUAUCCGGAUUUAUUGGGUUUAAAGGGUGCGCAGGCGGGAUGUUAAGUCGGCGGUGAAAUUUUGCAGCUCAACUGUAAAAGUGCCUUCGAUACUGGCCUCCUUGAGUGUGGAUGAAGUAGGCGGAAUUUGUGGUGUAGCGGUGAAAUGCUUAGAUAUCACGAGGCACUCCGAUUGCGCAGGCAGCUUACUAAGCCACAACUGACGCUCAUGCACGAAGGCGUGGGGAUCAAACA
rnacentral:rRNA from 1 species